UACGGAGGUGGCAAGCGUUGCUCGGAAUCACUGGGCGUAAAGGCGCGUAGGCGGGGAGGUAAGUCGGGUGUGAAAUCCCUCGGCCCAACCGAGGAACUGCGCCCGAGACUGCUUCUCUUGAGUCCCGGAGAGGAAGGUGGAAUUCCCGGUGUAGCGGUGAAAUGUGUAGAGAUCCGGAAGAACACCGGAGGCGAAGGCGGCUUGCUGGGCGUGAUCUGACGCUGAGGCGCGAAAGCGUGGGGAGCGAACAGG
rnacentral:rRNA from 1 species